rnacentral:rRNA from 1 species
UACGUAGGGUGCAAGCGUUAAUCGGAAUUACUGGGCGUAAAGCGUGCGCAGGCGGUGAUGUAAGACAGGUGUGAAAUCCCCGGGCUUAACCUGGGAACUGCGCUUGUUACUGGCAAGCUAGAGUGUGGCAGAGGGGGGUGGAAUUCCAGGUGUAGCAGUGAAAUGCGUAGAUAUCUGGAGGAACACCGAUGGCGAAGGCAGCCCCCUGGGCUAACACUGACGCUCAUGCACGAAAGCGUGGGGAGCAAACAGG